GCCUGGAUGUUCCAGUCAGCUCUCUGGUGCUGAAACAAUGGAAGCCCAGCUUAUUCAAAUCAAGAUAACCAGUGCAGGCUUGUGGUCGCACAAUGAGUCUGAAUCCAGUAUAGCAGAUGUUCCUGUAAAGGAGAUUGUAUCAGAUAAACUAGUAUUGCUAAAUGUGGAUGAUGAAGAUGGAUUGACAUUUCUGGCUCCAAAGUUGUGGUUGAAUUGGAUUGGCUCGAGUGCUAGGAAAGGGAAGCUAGCAUUGAAAUUCUGGAAGACUGAUUCUGAACAUCUUGAACAUCAACCUGGAAGCUCUACCGGCAG
rnacentral:misc_RNA from 1 species